rnacentral:rRNA from 1 species
GACGAACGCUGGCGGCGUGCUUAACACAUGCAAGUCGAACGGCAAGGCCCUGCUUUCGUGCGGUUCUCGAGUGGCGAACGCGUGAGUAACACGUGUGUAACCUGCCCUAGACUUUGGGAUAACUUCAGGAAACUGGGGCUAAUACCGGAUAGGAUCUCCUCUUGCAGGGUGGGGGUUGGAACGUUUCGGCUGGUGGGGAUGGACUCGCGGCUAAUCAGCUUGUUGGUGGGGUAGUUGCUUACCAAGGCUUGGACGGGUAGCCGGCCUGAGAGGGUGACCGGGCACAAGGGGCCUGCGAUACGGCCCAGACGCCUACGGGAGGCAGCAGGGGGGAAUAUUGCACAAUGGGCGGAAGCCUGAGGCAGCAGCGCCGCGUUCGGGAUGCCGGCCUUCGGGUUGUAAACCGCUUUCGCCUGUGACGAAGCGUGAGUGACGGUAAUGGGUAAAGAAGCACCGGCUAACUACGUG